rnacentral:rRNA from 1 species
GAUGAACGCUGGCGGCGUGCCUAAUACAUGCAAGUCGAGCGAACAGAUGAGGAGCUUGCUCCUCUGACGUUAGCGGCGGACGGGUGAGUAACACGUGGAUAACCUACCUAUAAGACUGGGAUAACUUCGGGAAACCGGAGCUAAUACCGGAUAAUAUAUUGAACCGCAUGGUUCAAUAGUGAAAGACGGUUUUGCUGUCACUUAUAGAUGGAUCCGCGCCGCAUUAGCUAGUUGGUAAGGUAACGGCUUACCAAGGCAACGAUGCGUAGCCGACCUGAGAGGGUGAUCGGCCACACUGGAACUGAGACACGGUCCAGACUCCUACGGGAGGCAGCAGUAGGGAAUCUUCCGCAAAGGGCGAAAGCCUGACGGAGCAACGCCGCGUGAGUGAUGAAGGUCUUCGGAUCGUAAAACUCUGUUAUUAGGGAAGAACAAAUGUGUAAGUAACUAUGCACGUCUUGACGGUACCUAAUCAGAAAGCCACGGCUAACUACAUG